rnacentral:lncRNA from 1 species
AAUUGUUCUACAGCUUAAUUUAAAAUUUUAUAAUAGAAAAGAUAUUAUUGCAAGAUAACAACAAAAUAUAUACGAAUUGUCUUACUUUUUAAGAAUAUGAUAUUGUUAAUAUAUAUUUUUAAUUAUAUAUAUAUAUAUGUAAAAAUUCAUUAAAAUUACAACACAAUAUAAAGUUAUCUUCAUUUUUAAAAAAAAUAUGAUAUUAUUAAUAUAA